rnacentral:rRNA from 1 species
AGCCAGACUUGCUUGCAGUUGCUCAUCCGGGCUUUUGCCCGGUGCACUCUUCUGCAGGCAGGCCAGCAUCAGUUUGGGCGGUGGGAUAAAGGUCUCUGACACGUUCCUUCCUUCGGGUUGGCCAUAUAGGGGAGACGUCAUACCACCAGCCUGGACUGAGGUCCGCGCAUCUGCUAGGAUGCUGGCGUAAUGGCUGUAAGCGGCCCGUCUUGA